UGGGGAAUUUUGGACAAUGGGCGCAAGCCUGAUCCAGACAUGCCGCGUGCGGGAAGAAGGCCUUCGGGUUGUAAACCGCUUUUGUCAGGGAAGAAAUCUUCUGAGUUAAUACCUCGGGAGGAUGACGGUACCUGAAGAAUAAGCACCGGCUAACUACGUGCCAGCAGCCGCGGUAAUACGUAGGGUGCAAGCGUUAAUCGGAAUUACUGGGCGUAAAGCGUGCGCAGGCGGUUUUGUAAGACAGAGGUGAAAUCCCCGGGCUCAACCUGGGAACUGCCUUUGUGACUGCAAGGCUUGAGUGCGGCAGAGGGGGAUGGAAUUCCGCGUGUAGCAGUGAAAUGCGUAGAUAUGCGGAGGAACACCGAUGGCGAAGGCAAUCCCCUGGGCCUGCACUGACGCUCAUGCACGAAAGCGUGGGGAGCAGACAGGAUUAGAUACCCUGGUAGUCCACGCCCUAAAACGAUGUCAACUGGUUGUUGGGGAAGGUUCCUUCUCAGUAACGUAGCUAACGCGUGAAGUUGACCGCCUGGGGAGUACGGCCGCAAGGUUGAAACUCAAAUGAAUUGACGGGGUCAUAGCUGUUU
rnacentral:rRNA from 1 species